GCCUUAUGCCUGAAAGGGCGACGUGGUGACACGGAGCGAGAAGUCAGCAGAAGCCAUAGUAGCCGCUUGUUCAGGGCGAAGGGC
rfam:Bordetella petrii strain DSM 12804, complete genome